CAGCUGACUCUACAGUUAUUGUUGCCUGUAGGCUACACCUUUGUUUUAGUGCACAAACUAGUUCCAGUUAUGUGCUUACUAAAAGAAAAUUACUCUCCCAAUUUAAGAAAGAGCGUUUUAGAAAAGAUGAAAGCUUUUAAACUGUAUUGAAGAAAAUACAGUUGUAAAAGGAAAAUUAACAAAAACCUAGUUCAAGAAAGAAACCCCAAAAGUGGAAACCGAGAUGCAGUGCACUUUAGAGCCUCAGAACCUCCUCCAGGCAGAGUAAGACAAUGAAAACUGAAUACAAGAAUCUGCCAUCACAACUGUGGGUGAGGUUUGGUUCCGGAAGCACAGCCAGUCCAGGUUCUUGGGGUAACACUGUGGCAAAAUUCCAGUAAGACACAUCCACUGCACCUUCCUGUUCUCAUUCCCGACUGGUCUGCUGUUUUUCAUCCUUCAAUCUGAUGAUAACACUGGAUGCAUGGGAGCCACUCUGUCUUCCUGCGCCAUGCGGGGCCACAGCUAAACCCUGAGACCUAACGCUGUCCUGUUCAGUACAGAAGGCAUUCACCACUGAUGUCUGUGGAGCACUUUAAAUGUACCCAGUUGGAUUUUAGCUGUGCUGCAAGUGUAAAAUACAUACCAGAUUUUGAAGACUUAAAUGAAAAGAAAAAAAG
rnacentral:lncRNA from 1 species